GUCCUUUAGAUAUUAAUUUAAGGUCUAACCUGCCCACUGAAUUAUUUUUAAAUGGCCGCAGUAAUUUGACUGUGCAAAGGUAGCAUAAUCAUUAGUUUUUUAAUUAAAAGCUUGUAUGAAAGGUUGGACGAAGUAAAAUCUGUCUCUAAUUAAUUUAAUUUAGAAUUUAACUUUUAAGUCAAAAGGCUUAAAUAUAUCUAAAAGACGAGAAGACCCUAUAGAUCUUUAUAAUUUUAUUAUUAAAUUUGAUUAUGAAUUUUUAAAAUUUUAUUAAUAAAAUUAUUUUAUUGGGGUAAUAUAAAGAUUAAAAUAAUUCUUUUUUUUUAUUUACAUUGAUUUAUGAUUUUUAUGAUCCAAUUAUAUUGAUUAAAAGAUUAAGUUACCUUAGGGAUAACAGCGUAAUUUUUUUAGAGAGUUCUUAUCGAUAAAAAAGUUUGCGACCUCGAUGUUGGAUUAAAGAUUAUUUUAGGUGCAGAAGUUUAAAAAUUUGGUCUGUUCGACCAUUAAAUCUUUACAUGAUCUGAGUUCAGACCGGUGUAAGCCAGGUCGGUUUCUAUCUUUAGAAAAUUAAAAUAUUUUAGUACGAAAGGACCAAUUAUUUGAUAUAUUAAUAUUUAUAUUUUGAUUAUUAUUAA
rnacentral:rRNA from 1 species